rnacentral:rRNA from 1 species
GACGAACGCUGGCGGCGUGCUUAACACAUGCAAGUCGAACGGAAAGGCCUCUUUCGGGGGGUACUCGAGUGGCGAACGGGUGAGUAACACGUGAGUAACCUGCCCUUGACUUUGGGAUAACUUCAGGAAACUGGGGCUAAUACCGGAUAGGAGCUCCUGCUGCAUGGUGGGGGUUGGAAAGUUUCGGCGGUUGGGGAUGGACUCGCGGCUUAUCAGCUUGUUGGUGGGGUAGUGGCUUACCAAGGCUUUGACGGGUAGCCGGCCUGAGAGGGUGACCGGCCACAUUGGGACUGAGAUACGGCCCAGACUCCUACGGGAGGCAGCAGUGGGGAAGAUUGCACAAGGGGUGGAAGCCUGAUGCAGCAACGCCGUGUGCGGGAUGACGGCCUUCGGGUUGGAAACCGCUUUCGCUCAUGACGAAGCUUUGUGUGACGGUAGUGGGUAAAGAAGCACCGGCUAACUACGUG